UCACUUUAACACUGAGGCGUGACGACGAGGCACUACGGUGCUGAAGCAACAAAUGCCCUGCUUCCAGGAAAAGCCUCUAAGCAUCAGGUAACACGAAAUCGUACCCCAAACCGACACAGGUGGUCAGGUAGAGAAUACCAAGGCGCUUGAGAGAACUCGGGUGAAGGAACUAGGCAAAAUGGUGCCGUAACUUCGGGAGAAGGCACGCUGACACGUAGGUGAAGUGAUUUACUCACGGAGCUGAAGUCAGUCGAAGAUACCAGCUGGCUGCAACUGUUUAUUAAAAACACAGCACUGUGCAAACACGAAAGUGGACGUAUACGGUGUGACGCCUGCCCGGUGCCGGAAGGUUAAUUGAUGGGGUCAGCGCAAGCGAAGCUCCUGAUCGAAGCCCCGGUAAACGGCGGCCGUAACUAUAACGGUCCUAAGGUAGCGAAAUUCCUUGUCGGGUAAGUUCCGACCUGCACGAAUGGCGUAAUGAUGGCCAGGCUGUCUCCACCCGAGACUCAGUGAAAUUGAACUCGCUGUGAAGAUGCAGUGUACCCGCGGCAAGACGGAAAGACCCCGUGAACCUUUACUAUAGCUUGACACUGAACAUUGAGCCUUGAUGUGUAGGAUAGGUGGGAGGCUUUGAAGUGUGGACGCCAGUCUGCAUGGAGCCGACCUUGAAAUACCACCCUUUAAUGUUUGAUGUUCUAACGUGGACCCGUAAUCCGGGUUGCGGACAGUGUCUGGUGGGUAGUUUGACUGGGGCGGUCUCCUCCUAAAGAGUAACGGAGGAGCACGAAGGUUGGCUAAUCCUGGUCGGACAUCAGGAGGUUAGUGCAAUGGCAUAAGCCAGCUUGACUGCGAGCGUGACGGCGCGAGCAGGUGCGAAAGCAGGUCAUAGUGAUCCGGUGGUUCUGAAUGGAAGGGCCAUCGCUCAACGGAUAAAAGGUACUCCGGGGAUAACAGGCUGAUACCGCCCAAGAGUUCAUAUCGACGGCGGUGUUUGGCACCUCGAUGUCGGCUCAUCACAUCCUGGGGCUGAAGUAGGUCCCAAGGGUAUGGCUGUUCGCCAUUUAAAGUGGUACGCGAGCUGGGUUUAGAACGUCGUGAGACAGUUCGGUCCCUAUCUGCCGUGGGCGCUGGAGAACUGAGGGGGGCUGCUCCUAGUACGAGAGGACCGGAGUGGACGCAUCACUGGUGUUCGGGUUGUCAUGCCAAUGGCACUGCCCGGUAGCUAAAUGCGGAAGAGAUAAGUGCUGAAAGCAUCUAAGCACGAAACUUGCCCCGA
rnacentral:rRNA from 1 species